AAAACGGAGGGAAAACGGGAUUAUGGCAGAGUCUUCAAAAUGUGCAACUAUGCCACUGAAAACCUGGUAACCUUGUGUUGAACCCACAGAGGUACACAGAUAUGACAGCAUCAACUAAAGCUUCCAUCUUGAAUCCUCUUCAUCUGGAGCUGUUUGAAUCGUAGCAGGAGGACAGAAAUCCUUUGACAACAGAGGAUUGUUCAUUGUUGAGCUGUUUUGUUUGAUCUACCUGAGAAAGCUCAAGUAGGCUAUGGCAUGGACACCCGUUCCCAGACCGACAGGCCCACUUGUUGUUGGAGGAUUGGUCUCUUUGCCCCACCUGUGUUCGGAGAGAAAGCCCAAAAGGCCACAGGAAAUUCUUAAUAUGAGACAUGCAUCCGGAAAAAAGUUAACUGGCUUAGUAUAAUGACCUCUCUGGAAUAUCUAUAUGAUGUCUAUUUAUAAACUUGACAGUUCAAGCCACAU